rnacentral:lncRNA from 1 species
UCGUCCUCAAGAAUUGUACUGCAAACUGACAUGUGUUCCUAUUUUGUCCAAGAAGACCCAUUUCACCAUUCUACAUAUUCUUUUGAAUUCUGGUUUUGCAUUUCACCAUUCUCCGAGGAAAUGCUUUGGUCAUUUCCUGCAAUUGGUUGUUGAUAUCCUCGUUGGUCGUAAGAGUAUUCUUAAAAAAUUUAUCCUCCUCCUUAGUCUAAAAGGGG